UGUACAAAUCAUAGCUGUCCAACACACAUGCACAACCUCCCCUGGCACAGCUUUGUGCUAUUUCCACGUGUCCUGUCCUUGGUUCCCAGGGAGCAGAGACCGGCACCUCCCUGCCCAUUUCCCCUCUUCAGGAAGCUGCAGAGAGGAAUGAGGCCACCUCUCAGCCUCCUUUUCUCCAGCCUGGACA